rnacentral:tRNA from 1 species
GGGGGUAUAGUAUAACCUGGUAGUACCGCGGGCUCCAAAUGCCCAUGUGAUGAAUAUUGCAUACACUAAGCGGAAGACACCCGCUAAUCUGGGUUCAAAUCCCAGUGCCCCCA